CCUACGGGAGGCAGCAGUGAGGAAUAUUGGUCAAUGGACGAGAGUCUGAACCAGCCAAGUAGCGUGAAGGAUGACUGCCCUAUGGGUUGUAAACUUCUUUUAUAUGGGAAUAAAAUGUUCCACGUGUGGGAUUUUGUAUGUACCAUAUGAAUAAGGAUCGGCUAACUCCGUGCCAGCAGCCGCGGUAAUACGGAGGGUCCGAGCGUUAUCCGGAUGUAUUGGGUUUAAAGGGAGCGUAGGUGGAUUGUUAAGUCAGUUGUGAAAGUUAGGGGCGAAACCGGAAAAUUGCAGUGGAAACUGGCAGACUGGAGUACAGUAGAGGAGAGCGGAAUUCGAGGUGGAGCGGUGAAAUGCUUAGAUAUCACGAAGAACACCGAUGGCGAAGGCAGCUCACUGGACUGCAACUGACACUGAGGCUCGAAAGUGUGGGUAUCAAACAGGAUUAGAUACCCGAGUAGUC
rnacentral:rRNA from 1 species